rnacentral:lncRNA from 1 species
GGAAAGCCGGUGUGCCCUGGGCGGGGUUCCUUGCGGUUGUGGGACUUGAGACUGGCAGACGACCCUAUCCCCUCAUUCCCCGCCAGUGCGGACUCCUUGGGGACCCCUGUCCAGCCCAGAGACCGCCGGGGAUCUUGCGUCGGCCCGGGUGUCCCUCUCCCCGCCCCUGCGUCUGUCCAGGCGGCGGCGACGGAGCCCGGCUGGAGGGGGCGCUCGUGCGCAGGAGCGGCGCAGCAGGUGCCGCGGUUACCUCCACCUCGGCGGGGGGAGAGGGGGCGGGCCGGGGCGGGAGGCGGAGGCCAGCUCGGUGAGCCGAGAGCGCGGCCGGCUCCCCAGGCUGGCUGCGAGCUCGCGGCUUCCGGGAGCGCCCGAAGUCCGUGGAGGACCUCCUAACCCGCGGCCG